rnacentral:sRNA from 1 species
AUGUACCGCGCAUGUACUGCGGCUCUGAGCGCGCCUUCCGCGCCCACCUGAUGGCUGCUCGCUACGUUUUGUUAGCC